GCCUAGCUAGCUUGGUUGUUACCGCGUCUGCCUUGUAAGCGCUAGGCCGCGGGUUCGAUUCCCGCCCGGGGCA
rnacentral:tRNA from 1 species